GCACAGCGGUGGAGCAUGUGGUUUAAUUCGACGCAACGCGAAGAACCUUACCAGGGCUUGACAUCCCCUGACCGCGUAUGAAAGUACGUUUUCACCUCGGGUGACAGGGAGACAGGUGGUGCAUGGUUGUCGUCAGCUCGUGUCGUGAGAUGUUGGGUUAAGUCCCGCAACGAGCGCAACCCCUACGUUUAGUUGCUAACGCGUGAAGGCGAGCACUCUAGACGAACUGCCGUUGACAAAACGGAGGAAGGUGGGAUGACGUCAAAUCAUCAUGCCCCUUAUGUUCUGGGCUACACACGUGCUACAAUGGCCGGUACAGACGGACGCAAAGCCGCGAGGUGGAGCAAAUCCUAAAAAGCCGGUCUCAGUUCGGAUUGCAGGCUGCAAUUCGCCUACAUGAAGUCGGAAUCGCUAGUAAUCGCAGGUCAGCAUACUCGCGGUCCGAUACGUCCGGCCUU
rnacentral:rRNA from 1 species